rnacentral:rRNA from 1 species
AUUGAACGCUGGCGGCGUGCCUAACACAUGCAAGUCGAGCGGUAACAGGUGUAGCAAUACAUGCUGACGAGCGGCGAACGGGUGAGUAAUGCUUCGGAAUCUACCCAAUGGUGGGGAAUAACCAGCCGAAAGGUUGGCUAAUACCGCAUACGUCCCACGGGAGAAAGCAGGGGAUCGCAAGACCUUGCGCCAAUGGAUGAGCCGAAGUCGGAUUAGCUAGNGGUAGGGUAACGGCCUACCAAGGCGACGAUCCGUAGCUGGUCUGAGAGGACGACCAGCCACACUGGGACUGAGACACGGCCCAGACUCCGUACGGGAGGCAGCAGGUGGGGAAUAUUGGACAAGUGGGGGAAACCCUGAUCCAGCGACGCCGCGUGUGUGAAGAAGGCCUGCGGGUU